UUUCGAAUUCUCCCUACUCCAACCCUGAAUUCACCACCUUAUCGUGCCGUGACCAUUCCAUCCCUACGAUGGCGACGCCCAGCGUCGAUUCCUGCGCAUUUUCAUCCCCAGCUCGGAGGGUCUCGUUCUGCGAUGGCUUCGAUAGAUGCUUUUGUGCACUCGUCGUAAGAGAGAAAACACUAUAUUGUGAUAAAAUUAGUGGAUUAACACAAAGUUAGUGAUUUGUGAAGGAUCAUAUUCGAUGUAAUUCUUGGAUCGCAUAAAAUGGUGCGCUGCGGGGUGAGGACGGGAGGAGGAGGAAACGCACGAGGGGAAGAGAAGAAUGAAGCUACGGAACGGCAAGGGAAACGAGAGGGACGGGAAAGAUGCCGGCUGGCAAGCAGAUGGUUGCCCCGUUUAUUGGUUUAUUCGUCGGUUCAGCCAUGACGUUCCGGCCAUGAAACAGGCCGGAGGUUCUCCUUGUGUUGGAGAGUAUCACGCAACGAGGCUACAACUGCUCUUCCUAUUAAAACGCAUCCGCGAGCUACUUACUCGCGUUGUACCGCCAAGGAUAAUCGAUAAUGCAAUAUGUUGCGUCAGCGGAUAAUAAUUUUUAUUAUUUCGCAAAUUUCUCUCAUGCGUCUGAUACUGUCCCAACCACACGGUAGCCUUAUAAAAGUUGUAUAAUCAUAUGAGCUCUGAAAGUAAUGAUGUGCCAAUAAAUAUACUUCUCGAGAGAAAAACAAGUUUGCCAUCACCAACCACGUGCAAGAUUGAUUACACAGCGUACACGACAUGACCAAGUAACCUGGAAAUGAAAGGGGGGUACGUCGACACACGUACAGGAAUAAAAGGAGCUGUACCGCUAAGAAGACGAAGAAGAAGAAGAAAGAGGAGAAGAAGAAGGAGAAGAAAACCAAGGAGAACGCGACCUUGCUACAUUCAGCUGUGUCAUCCUUGAGCCGUUAACGCUCAGGUGGUUUCGAUCCCAGGGACGAGCAUCAAUCAUCAUCGGUAGUGCAGGUGUAAUGCGAUCAUUGUCACUGAGAUAACCCAGUACGAUAUUCACUUACGAAGCGUGUCAAGUGACAUAACAGAGAUUAUCUAUAUCAGCGUAUCUAAAUACUAAAAGAAACUAUUUCAAUAGCGUGUUAUUUGUUAGGGCAGGUCUUUGACUCGCAUAAGAGAUGUUGCAAAACAUUUGUGUAUUUAUGUGCGGUAAAUAC